rnacentral:rRNA from 1 species
UACGGAGGGGGCAAGCGUUGUUCGGAUUUACUGGGCGUAAAGGGUGUGUAGGCGGCUGGACAAGUCUGGUGUGAAAUCUUCACCGCUUAACGGGAAGGGGUCACUGGAAACUGUUCAGCUUGGAGUAUGGUAGAGGCAAGCGGAAUUCCUGGUGUAGCGGGUGAAAUGCGCAGAUAUCAGGAAGAACACCCGUGGCGAAGGCGGUUCUCUGGGACGGUACUGACGCUGAGACGCGAAAGCGUGGGGAGCGAACAGG